rnacentral:antisense_RNA from 16 species
CUUGAUGGAACCCAGCCACAGCGGACGGCCCGCGGGCCGGUCCUGCCCGUACGUCGCCAGCAGCGCCUGCGCCUC